UGGUCGAUUUUAGAAAUAAAUUGGAGAUUUUAGAAUAUAAGUGGGGAUUUUAGCAAAUCACUGAACUCUUUGGAGGAGGUUAUAAUAGACACCCAUCAGGUAGGGUGUGAGGAUAAACUGAGGUAACAGAAAAGCCCCUGACACAUGGCAU